rnacentral:rRNA from 1 species
GAGCACGUAGGUGGGUUUGUAAGUCGGGUGUGAAAGCCCCUGGCUCAACCAGGGAACUGCAUUUGAUACUGUGAGGCUUGAAGACAGGAGGGGAGAGUGGAACUUCUGGUGGAGCGGUGAAAUGCGUAGAUAUCAGAAGGAACGCCGGCGGCGAAAGCGAUUCUCUGGCCUAUAACUGACACUGAGUGUGCGAAAGCUAGGGGAGCAAACGGGAUUAGAUACCCCGGUAGUCCUAGCCGUAAACGAUGGGCACUAAGUAGAGGGGUUU